rnacentral:misc_RNA from 1 species
AACUUUUGGCAACGGAUCUCUUGGAUCUCGCAUCGAUGAAGAACGCAGCGAAAUGCGAUACGUAAUGUGAAUUGCAGAAUUCAGUGACUCAUCGAAUCUUUGAACGCACCUUGCGCCCCUUGGCAUUCCGAGGGGCACACCCGUUUGAGUGUCGUGAAAUCAUCAAAACCUUUUCCUUUGGGAAAAGGAUUUAGGAGUUGGAGGUUCCAUGCUCGCUUUCUUUUGAAAGCGAGCUCCUCUCAAAUGAAUCAGUGGGGUCCGCUUUGCCGAUCCUUGACGUGAUAAGAUGCUUCUACGUUUUGGAUUUGGCACUGUCCCUUGGACGCCUGCUCCUAACCGUCCCCAUGGAUAAUGAUGGUGCUCCGGUCGACCGCGGCUGGACCCACGAAAAGAAAACCUUGACCUCAAAUCGGGUGAGACUACCCGCUGAACUUAAGCAUAUCAAUAAGCGGAGG